CUGAUAAGAAUGGACCUUGGCCUAACUCAACCCCAAAAGUUAGCUUGUGAGGUGAGAGACCAAGGACCUCAAAUCCCUCUGAUGUGGGACAACUCAACACCUCCCCUCACGCCUAGGCCUUUGGAGCGUGGGCAACAUAAAUGGGACCCGACAUCGGUAACAAUAAUUGGGAUGAACCUGACUCUGAUACCAUGAUAAGAAUGGACUUUGGCCUAACUCAACCCCAAAAGCUAGCUUGUGAGAUGAGGAUUGCCCAAGCCAUAUAAGGAGACCGAGGACCUCAAAUCCCUCCGAUGUGGGACAACUCAACACCCCCCUCACACCCAGACUUUUGGAGCGUGGACAACAUAUAUGGGGGCCCAACAUCGGUACCAAUAAUUGGGAUGGGUCUGGCUCUGAUACCAUGAUAAGAAUGGACCUUUGGCCUAACUCAACCCCAAAAGCUAGCUUUUGAGGUUGUGAGAUGAGGAUUGCCCAAGCCAUAUAAGGAGACCGAGGACCUCAAAUCCCUCCGAUGUGGGACAACUCAACAAAUACCAUG
rnacentral:lncRNA from 1 species